rnacentral:rRNA from 1 species
CCCUUAGAUGUCCUGGGCCGCACGCGCGUUACACUGAUGCAUUCAACGAGCUUAUAACCUUGGCCGAGAGGCCCGGGCAAUCUUGUUAACGUGCAUCGUGAUAGGGAUAGAUUAUUGAAAUUAUUAAUCUUGAACGAGGAAUUCCUAGUAAACGCAGAUCAUCAAUCUGCAUUGAUUACGUCCCUGCCCUUUGUACACACCGCCCGUCGCACCUACCGAUUGGAUGGUCCGGUGAAGCCUCGGGAUUGUGGUUCUUCCCGCUUUAUUGUGGCGUGACCGCGAGAACUUGUCUAAACCUUAUCAUCUAGAGGAAGGUGAAGUCGUAACA